CCGAUCAUGACAAGCGUGUGGCGGUGGAUGCUGGUGGCGAUGCAGAGCCUACAUAUCUAAUCAGAACCUCUUGAGGAAGAAGAUGAUACUUGAUUCCAAGCUCUUCGAAUAUGUUCUUCAGCUCCAUCACCAGCAACACAGGAACUUGAAAAUGAACCUAGGGAAAAAUGUUAUCCUGCGGGAUUCCAGCAGCUCCCACAAAAGAUCAAGGGAGAAUAAUCCAUUUAUUCGUUCAAAGAAUACUAGCUUAUCAAGAGAAAUGGAGCAGAAUAUUCAAAAAGCUCUAUUUGACAUGGUAGACAAACUGCCUUUUGACUCUUGCGGACCUUCCGUUCGCUCAAAGUUAUUUUUCACAAUCCUCCUGGGCAACAAGCUACUUUUUAGCCACUCACGACAUGGAGGAAAGGUAUUCGCAGAUCAAUGAUGCUCGCAACAAGGAGGAGGACAGGAAGAUCCAGAAGAAGAGGAGGAAUGGUGUUUGAUUGUUUGUGUUGUAUAUUUAGACAAUUGUUUGUAUUUUAUGACACUCUUUAUAUUUAGACAAUUGUUUGUAUCCA